UACGGGAGGCAGCAGUGGGGAAUAUUGCACAAUGGGCGCAAGCCUGAUGCAGCCAUGCCGCGUGUAUGAAGAAGGCCUUCGGGUUGUAAAGUACUUUCAGUCGUGAGGAAGGUGUUAAGGUUAAUAACCUUAGCAAUUGACGUUAGCGACAGAAGAAGCACCGGCUAACUCCGUGCCAGCAGCCGCGGUAAUACGGAGGGUGCGAGCGUUAAUCGGAAUUACUGGGCGUAAAGGGCACGCAGGCGGUUAAUUAAGUUGGAUGUGAAAUCCCCGGGCUUAACCUGGGAAUGGCAUUCAAGACUGGUUAGCUAGAGUCUUGUAGAGGGGGUAGAAUUCCAUGUGUAGCGGUGAAAUGCGUAGAGAUGUGGAGGAAUACCGGUGGCGAAGGCGGCCCCUGGGACAAAGACUGACGCUCAUGUGCGAAAGCGUGGGGAGCAAAACAGGGAUUAGAUACC
rnacentral:rRNA from 1 species